rnacentral:rRNA from 1 species
UACGGGGGGGGGCAAGCGUUGUUCGGAAUUACUGGGCGUAAAGGGCCAGUAGGCGGCCAACUAAGUCGGAUGUGAAAUCCCCAGGCUCAACCUGGGAACUGCAUCCGAUACUGGAUGGCUUGGAUUGGGAGAGGAUGCGGAAUUCCAGGUGUAGCGGUGAAAUGCGUAGAUAUCUGGAGGAACACCGGUGGCGAAGGCGGCAUCCUGGACCAAUAUUGACGCUGAGGAGCGAAAGCCAGGGGAGCAAACGGGG